GAGCUUAGGAGUUUGACUCCUGGACUACGAGGACGAACGGCUGGCGGCGUGCCUAACACAUGCAAGUCGAACGGNGUAAAGAGCUUCGGUUUUUUACUUAGUGGCGAACGGGUGAGUAACGCGUGAGCAACCUGACUCUUUNAGGGGGAUAACAGUCGGAAACAACUGCUAAUACCGCAUAAGACCACGAACCGGCAUCGGUAUGAGGUCAAAGGAGCAAUCCGCAGAGAGAGGGGCUCGCGUCCCAUUAGAUAGUUGGCGGGGCAACGGCCCACCAAGUCCGCGAUGGGUAGCCGAGCUGAGAGGCUGAUCGGCCACACUGGAACUGAGACACGGUCCAGACUCCUACGGGAGGCAGCAGUGGGGAAUAUUGGGCAAUGGGCGCAAGCCUGACCCAGCAACGCCGCGUGAGGGAAGAAGGCUUUCGGGUUGUAAACCUCUGUCCUUGGUGACGAAACAAAUGACGGUAGCCAAGGAGGAAGCCCCGGCUAACUACGUGCC
rnacentral:rRNA from 1 species